rnacentral:lncRNA from 15 species
AUUGUAAUUAAGCUAGUAGCUAUAUUGUAAUUAAGCUAAGCUAAUAGCUAUAUUGUAAUUAAGCUAAUAGCUAUAUUGUUAUUAAGCUAGUAGCUAUAUUGUUAUUAAGCUAGUAGCUAUAUUGUAAUUAAGCUAAGCUAAUAGCUAUAUUGUAAUUAAGCCAAUAGCUAUAUUGUAAUUAAGCUAGUAGCUAUAUUGUAAUUAAGCUAAGCUAAUAGCUAUAUUGUAAUUAAGCUAAGCUAAUAGCUAUAUUGUAAUUAAGCUAAUAGCUAUAUUGUUAUUAAGCUAGUAGCUAUAUUGUUAUUAAGCUAAGCUAGUAGCUAUAUCGUUUUAAGCUAGUAGCUAUAUUGUUAUUAAGCUAGUAGCUAUAUUGUUUUAAGCUAGUAGCUAUAUUGUUAUUAAGCUAAGCUAGUAGCUAUAUUGUUAUUAAGCUAGUAACAUUAGCUCUGUGGCUCGUAGCAUAGCAUUAGCUCUCUGUAACGUUAGCUCGUAGCAUAGCAUUAGCUCUCUGUAACGUUAGCUUGUAAUCAGUCAAUAAAGUUAUUACAAACUGCUGCUGCUGUCUGUACAGCUGAUGUUGGGGUUUGUUGUUCUCUCAGUCUGUCAGGUGGAGGUGGAGGAGGGGGCGGAGUCUGUCCAACUGCCCUUCAAGACCACAGCUAACCUGCCUGAGGACGCUAGAGUGGCAUGGGGACGCAUUGAACCUGAACCCAUAAUAAUAGUCCAUGUGUAUCAGAACGGUUCUGAUCAGCCAGAAAUACAGAACCAGGAUUACAGAGACCGAACUGAGAUGAAGGAAGACCUGCUGAAAGCUGGAGACCUCAGUCUGACCCUGAAAUCCCCCAAAGAGAGAGACACAGGAAGAUACUACUGCAGAGUCGACAACAAGAACAUCUGGAGAUGGAAAACAGUGGAGCUCACAGUCAGAGGGAGAACCAGGAACAGAAGCAGCUCCAUUGAUCCAACUCCUCUGAUGGCUGAUCAAUCUGUUUGAUUGGUCUGUUGAUCAAUCUGUGAUUAUUGAUCUUGUUGAAGGGGCUCAAAGGAAGAGAAUGUCAACGUUCAGCUUUCAGUGUUUCCUCUCUUCAUCGUCUGAAUGAACCUGCAGUCCAUACUGUGAUUGAUUGAUUGAUUGACUGCUUGACUGAUUGAUUGACUGAUUGAUUGACUGAUUGAUUGAUGUUGAUUGAUUGGUCUCAUGUAGCUCUAUAAUGUUUCUCUGAUGUUUGUGUAUUCAGCUUCUAUACAUAUAUAUCUGGCUGUGUCUCAGGAGGUAGAGCGGGUCGUCCACUGAUCAGAAGGUCACUGGUUCGAUCCCCGGCUCCUCCCGCUGCAUGUCGAAGUGUCCUUGAGCAAAAUACUGAACCCCAAACUGCUCCUGAUGCUGAAUCACUGUAUGAAUGAGUGAAUGGGAAUGUGUGAAUGUUGAAUGAGGAUGAGUGAAUGAGUGAAUGAGUGAAUGUGGCUGUAGUGUAAAUGGCUUUGAGUGGUCAGAACACUAGACAGACACUAAGUUCAGUCACUUUCUGUGAUUGAAUGAAGUUAUUGUUUGAGUGUCAGUCAGCUGAACUGUUCUCAUGUGUUUGAAUCCAUAAAGUGUUGUGAGCAGAUGAGUUAUGGAUUCGAUCAUUUCACACUCUGUUUAGAGAAUGAUGAAUAUUGAGGAGAACAACUGUAAAUAAAGCUCAAAUGUACAGAAAUCAUUUCUCCACUCUGACAGCAUCAUGAAAAUGGAUCUAAAGCUGUGAGAAUGAUGGAUUCAGGAGGCAUCAAAACUUUGAUUACAGCGCCCCCAUGUGGCAGAGCGGGAGCAGAUUUCUCUUAUUGUAUCUACGUGUGAUGAUGGAGGCCAUGUGUCUCAGAUUGAUGAUUUCCUUUAAUAACAUAAUGAGUGUAAACUGUGUCUGUAGUGACAGCGUCCAUAAAGCGUUAUCAGCAGUGAAAUAUCUGCAGCUUCCACAAAUCUAUAUUGAUUCUCACUAAUUACAGUUGCUCAAUCACAUCACUGUUAGUUGCCGCCUGUACGGCCUGUUGCUCUGCUCCAUGGGGACGGCACACUCGUCACACUCCAGGAACUGUCUGAGUUGAUUCUGGCGCCCCCUGUGGACAACAGCGGUAGUGUUUCUACUGCCUGGUUUCAUUGAUUUCAAGGGGAAUCCGACCCGGUGGCAGACAUUAACAAUAACUAUAUAGAAAUAUCCAAUCUUCUCUCUGAUUGUUUAUGUACAAUAACUCACUGUAGGACAUUUAAAGUAGUAACUCUAUGAUUCAACAGGUGAAGGUCCCAUUGCGUCAAGCCCCGCCCCCUUUUAAGUGAAAGCACUGCCUCUAACUUGACUGGUGGUAAAUGUAAAUUCUGAG